GUCCCUGUAGCGCAACAAAUAGCGCAUUGGACUUCUAAUCCAAAGGUUGUGGGUUCGAAUCUCACCUGGAAUG